CAAAACACGGGGGAGAGGCGGGGGGAAGACGUAGGGGGUAAGGGUUGUGCGGAUUUAUUGGGCGUAAAGAGCUCGUAGGCGGUUUGGUAAGUCGGAUGUGAAAGCUCCAGGCUCAACUUGGAGGGGUGAUUCGAUACUGCCAUGACUAGAGUUCGGUAGGGGAGUGUGGAAUACCUGGUGGAGCGGUGAAAUGCGCAGAUAUCAGGUGGAACACCCGUAGCGAAGGCGGCACUCUGGGCCGGAACUGACGCUGAGGAGCGAAAGCGUGGGGAGCGAACAGGAUUAGAUACCCUUGUAGUC
rnacentral:rRNA from 1 species